rnacentral:rRNA from 1 species
AUGCGUGCCAUUAGCUAGAUGGUAAGGUAAGGGCUUACCAUGGCGACGAUGGCUAGGGGUUCUGCAAGGAAGAUCCCCCACACUGGUACUGAGACACGGACCAGACUCCUACGGGAGGCAGCAGUGAGGAAUAUUGGUCAAUGGAGGCAACUCUGAACCAGCCAAGCCGCGUGAAGGAAGACUGUUCUAUGAAUUGUAAACUUCUUUUGUGACAGAGUAAAGAUAGCUACGCGUAGUUAUUUGCAAGUAUGUCAUGAAUAAGCAUCGGCUAACUCCGUGCCAGCAGCCGCGGUAAUACGGAGGAUGCAGGCGUUAUCCGGAUUUAUUAGGUUUAAAGGGUGUUCAGGCUGUCUGGUAAGUCAGAGGUGAAAGUCGGUUGCUUAACGAUCGAAUUGCCUUUGAAACUGUCAGACUUGAGUAUGGAUGCGGUAGGCGGAAUGUGUAGUGUAGCGGUGAAAUGCAUAGAUAUUACACAGAACACCGAUUGCGAAAGCAGCUUACCAAACCAGCACUGACGCUGAAGCACGAAAGCGUGGGUAGCGAACAGGAUUAGAUACCCUGGUAGUCCACGCAGUAAACGAUGCUCACUCGCUGUUGGCAAUAGAUCGUCAGCGGCUAAGGGAAACCGAUAAGUGAGCCACCUGGGGAGUACGAUCGCAAGAUUGAAACUCAAAGGAAUUGACGGGGGGCCCGCACAAGCGGUGGAACAUGUGGUUUAAUUCGAUGAUACGCGAAGGACCUUUACUGGGGCUUAAAUGUACGAUGCCUUAAUGGGAAAGCACUUUUUCCCUUCGGACUUU